rnacentral:lncRNA from 1 species
GUUACUCCUAACCUCUACCCUAAGUCUAAAACUCGACCCUGAUCUAUGAAACCAUCAAUUGACAUCUUCGAUCUCCUCAAACCAACCCUCCUCGACCCAUACCAGUCUGGUUUUCGUAGAAGGGAAGGGAGCGUGGCCGAAUGGAGGUCUUGGGCGACGCCUCGGUGUGGUGCUUCUGCUUCGGCAGUACCAAGCUAGAGCAGAUCAAGUCCAGCCUCCUCGCCGUAAAAGGUGCCGUCGACGAGCAUUAUCCUUCCCCAAUGGUUGCGUGGCAGAGGGUUGCCUCCAGCUCCCCCACACACGGGUGUCAGGAUCUCCUGAUUUCUUUCUCUCUCACGCUCAGGUAGAAUCCUUUAGGAUUUCUUUCAUCCUCAUCUCCGUUCUUCUUACUUUGACGUCUUAUAUGUGCAUGCCUGCUUGCCUUCCAAUCCAUGGAGGAAGCUGCUGUGCUGCAUCCAUCCAAGCACCUCACAAAAGUCCGCUCUGCCCACCUCUCCUAUUUUUGCAGCUCAUCUUCUGAAGCAGUCCUAGUCACGGAAUCACCCGCCUCGUAACAAGUUUGCCGGUGCCGGCGCGCUCGACGACUCCUUCGGAUUCCUCUUCUCCACGCAUGCUCUUCCUCUACUACUCCGGCAAGCGGCAACACAUCUGUUUUGAUUCCCCUUUGCUGACUAGGAUGACUAGCUGAUGGGAAUGCUAGCAAGGCAGAAAACCAGACUGGUUCAGGUUGUGGGUGUUCGAUGUCUGGUUUGAGGAGAUCGAGGGUAUCAAUUAGACAGUUUUAUAGAUCGGGGUUGAGUUUUAGACUUAGAGCAGAGGUCUCCCUUCGAUAAAACCACGUGCGUUAGUAUCAACUAUCAAAAUGAGCAGCAGCUUAUAUUUGAAUUUGAGGUCGCUCGUUAAUCAUCACUUAGGAUGGAUUUGUUUUCUAUGUCUAAGCAGAUGCAUUGUUUUCAAUUUCUAAAAAGUGUCCAUUUGUGACGGGUGGAAUGAAACAUACAUACAAAGGAGAUUGUAAUAUCUUUCUUCGUUGCCGUGGAAUAGAGUUGCAAAGGCACGACGAAAAUGUGUUUAGACAAGUAUAAAAUAUUUAUUUUUUCCUUUUUAAUUGAACGAGCUUGAUUUGUUCGUUUUUUAUUUUUAAUUUUGACACAAAGAGUUUGAUUGGUUUCAUGCCAAAAUAUUGGCAUGCCAAAAUUUUGGCCACUAUUUGGUUAGUACCAAAUUUUGCCCGUACCUUCUAUUUAUC